rnacentral:rRNA from 1 species
AUGGCUUCUUGAAAAUUACUAUUUUAAUAAGAAGUUUAACCUGCACACUGAAAUAUUAAAGAGCUGCAGUAUUGUGACUGUACAAAGGUAGCAUAAUCAUUAGUCUUUUAAUUGGGGACUAGAAUGAAAGGUUGGACAAAAGGUUUCUAUUUUAUUUAAAAUAUUGAAUUUAACUUUUCUGUAAUAAGGCAGAAGUAGAAAUAAAAGACAAGAAGACCCUUUAAAAUUAAUUUAAUUGUGGUUUCUUUAUUAAUGUAAUAACAAAAUAAUAAUUAUAUUAAGUUUUGCUGGGGCGGUAAAUAUUAUAAACGAUAAUAAAGAUAAAUAUAUUAUUAUUAGCUAUUAUUUGAUCCUAAGGUAGAAAGUAAAAAAGAAAAAGUUACUAAAGGGAUAACAGCGUUAUAAUAUUUAAGAGUUCUUAUUGACAAUAUUGUUUGCGA